rnacentral:tRNA from 1 species
GCCAGGGUAGCUCAGUGGUUAGAGCGAGCGUUUCAUAAGCGCUAGGCCGCGAGUUCAACUCUCGCCCCUGGUA